rnacentral:miRNA from 1 species
CUUGCCAAGCCGUUACAGC